rnacentral:rRNA from 1 species
GAUAAGCGGGAGGAAGGUGUGGAUGACGUCAAGUCCUCAUGGCCCUUACGUGGUGGGCUACACACGUGCUACAAUGGCAGUGACAAUGGGUUAAUCCCAAAAAGCUGUCUCAGUUCGGAUUGUCGGCUGCAACUCGCCGGCAUGAAGUUGGAAUCGCUAGUAAUCGUGGAUCAGCAUGCCACGGUGAAUACGUUCCCGGGCCUUGCACACACCGCCCGUCACACCAUGGGAGUGGGAUGCAAAAGAAGUAGUUAGUUUAACCUUCGGGAGAACGAUUACCACUUUGUGUUUCAUGACUGGGGUGAAGUCGGAACAAGGUAACCCUAGGGGAACCUGGGGUUGGAUCACCUCCUU